rnacentral:rRNA from 1 species
UACAGAGGUCCCAAGCGUUGUUCGGAUUCAUUGGGCGUAAAGGGCGUGCAGGCGGUCGACUAAGUCUGGCGUGAAAGCUCUCGGCUAAACCGGGAGAGGUCGUUGGAUACUGGUUGACUAGAGGACGGUAGAGGCGUGUGGAAUUCCGGGUGUAGUGGUGAAAUGCGUAGAGAUCCGGAGGAACACCAGUGGCGAAGGCGACACGCUGGGCCGUACCUGACGCUGAUACGCGACAGCAUGGGGAGCGAACGGG